CACGUAGGGCGCAAGCGUUGUCCGGAAUUAUUGGGCGUAAAGAGCUCGUAGGCGGUCUGUUGCGUCCGCUGUGAAAACUCGGGGCUUAACCCCGAGCCUGCAGUGGAUACGGGCGGACUAGAGGUAGGUAGGGGAGAAUGGAAUUCCCGGUGUAGCGGUGAAAUGCGCAGAUAUCGGGAGGAACACCGGUGGCGAAGGCGGUUCUCUGGGCCUUACCUGACGCUGAGGCGCGAAAGCUAGGGUAGCAAACGGG
rnacentral:rRNA from 1 species